GAGGAGAAGAAGAGGUUGUUAAUGGGGUGGAGGUGGUGGUGGAGGAGAAGGGGAUCGAAGCGGUGGAGGAGGAGGAGGGUAAUGGAGUUGGUAGGGAGCUUCUAGAAGCGCUUAGGGAGGUGGGAGGCCACUUCAUGAGGGCGUGUGAUUCGGGGAAGGAGGUGUCGCGUAUGCUCGAGCUCAACAGAACGAGCCUUCAACCUGGUCUUGAUGAGAUCAAAGGUGGGAUUUUUAUUUUCUCCUUUUUCCCCCCCUUUUUAGCGGAUUUAUUAUUAUUAUUAUUUGUUUAGCUUCUUUUCAUUUUUUUGAGGUUUUGUGACUUUGAUGUGUUAGUGAUUGAGAGGGGAUUCAUGGGAGAAAGUGGGAAAGAAGAAGCCAAGUGAAAGGCUGUUCCAUUUUUCCACCAUUUUUACAGCAUUAAGAAUUAUUUUUUCUUUCUUUUUUCUGAUCUUUUCCUCCCUUUUAUGCUUUUUUUUUUGGUUUAUCUCAGUUUGGUACCAAAAUGUCCUCUAAUCUUGGUUUAAAUUGGGAGUAAGAAUGCUUUUUUUGAUAUUUUCAUUAUAUCCCUCAUUUUUCUUUCUUGUUACUAGCUACAAGAUCAGGAAAAAAAAAAGAGGUAAAAUUUGGUUUAUAUACAUAUUUUUUUCCUCUCCCUUUCUACUGUUUGGGAGUUUUAUCCUGUUGUGAUUAUCCUUUUAUGCUGUGUCUAGUCAAUAAAGCUAGCUCAUGGUUCUUUCUAAAUUCUAAAUGCUACUCAGUAGAAAGAUGAUGCAAAAGUUGAGUAAAUAAAGUGGUUCCUUUGGAAUUUGGCAUGAACUUUUUCCGAAAAAAGAGCCUUUGACUAUUCUUUGCUAAGAUUAAAGCAGCAUUUUUGCUUGGCAUUAAUCUUGAGCCCCUUUUCCUUGUUACUGUCAAUCCAUGCAAAAUGAGCUUUCUUAGAACUCAGAAGCUUCAAAUUGCUUAUUGAUGAACUUUGAUAUUUGCUCUAGGUGCAUAUUAAGCCUACUGUGACUACUUGGAACUAAAGACUAACUCUUACUGCAUGAGUUGUUACUUUGUUAUUACUUUUAUUUGAAUAAUCAUGUAACUUAUGAAACAUCUCUCAUCGGCCAGAAAAUUCGUCUAAGAUAAAGCAAGCGAUCACAUGGCAUCGCUCUCCUUCGUCUCUGUCGUCAUCGUAUAGGAGUCAUCUUGGUGCAAGCUCAAGUAGCAUGUCGUGGGCGGAGAGUGGGAGCGACACAUUCGAUGACUAUGGUGGCAUGGCGUCAGGAAGCCACUCCCAGACUCUUGGAAGGUUAUUUGCUUGGGAGAAGAAGCUUUACGAGGAAGUGAAGGUACCUUUCAUCUUUUGAUGCCUCAUAAAUCAUGGUGUUCAUGAAGUUAAUUCUGCAAAAAAAAGGAAUGUUUAUGAAGAUGAUAAUGCUACUGUCUUUAGCAUUUGCAAUUUGAUCUUAAGUGCGCAAAACAUUUUGAGAUUCGUUAUAUGUUGACGCACUUUGAUUUAAUAUUCGAACGCAUAUGUCUUGUUGGUAUGCUGCGAUUCAUUUUCCAUGUCGAUAGAAGCUUGUAUGCGAUAGCUUCAAGUAGGGCACAACUCGGAUUGGUUCUGUUAUCGAUUAGGUGUCUCUGGAAAACGAGGUCCAGCAUCCUACGUCAGCAUUCUGAUUUAUUUGAACGGCAAAAAUGCGCUUAAUCUUCUAACUAAUUUUAUACCAAAUUUAAUGUCUAUGACAACUCUGUAGUUGGAUUCCAAAAACAGCGUAUUGGUUCCACAUGAAAAGAAGAUUAGAGUAAUAUACUACAUAUCAUACUUAUCUAUUUCACUUUCAAACAAUAUGGAGUUGACAAGCAGUUGAAUUUUCCCUAAGAGUGGAAAUUUCUGAAAGUAGCUAAAUUUGUGAUAUGGUUUUACCUCUCGUAACAUCAGUUUCCUGUUGAAACUGAUCACACGUGUAGACCUUUUUCUGAUCUCUUUUCGAGCAAAAUAAAUUCUUUACAAUAGUAUGUUUUAUUUAAAACGCUAUUAGUUUUUCUGUAGGCUGGCGAUCGGACCUGGCAAGCGUAUGUGAAGAAGUGCUCACAGCUAAGAAACCAAGAUGCUAAAGGAGCCGAUCCACGUGUACUCGACAAAACUAGAACUGUGGUAAGAGAAUUGUACACGAGAAUAAGGGUGGCUCUACGCUCAGCAGAAUCAAUCUCAGAGAAAAUACAGAAGCUGAGAGAUGAAGAAUUGCAGCCACAGCUCAUCGAGCUGCUGCAAGGGUGAGUUUACGGUCCUAACUGGGAUUAUUGCGCAAAAAACACCCAUUUUUCAUUCUGUUUUGCAAUUCUAAUCCACUUCUAUUUUAUAUUUGUUUUUGCAAUUUUGGACCAAAAUCUCUCGACCACCUGAAAUAUCCUAGUUCUCCUUGUGAUGAAUUUAUCCAUUUGAGAGCUCAGCAGGGGCAUUUUGGUUCAUAAAAAGAUACUUUGUCCAAAUUUGCGAAACUUGAAAAAUAUGGAUCCAACGUGCAUAGUUUCAUGAAGAUAGUCAUGUAUUUCCACUAUUUUCUUUAUGCAGCCUAACGAGAACAUGGAAGGUAAUGCUAGAAUCGCACGAAAUCCAGAAGCAAAUAAUGUUCAAAGUGAAUUCCUUUACAUGUCCCGCGUAUGGAAAAUUCAGUAACGACCAUCAGCGACAUGCUACGCUUAAACUAGAGGCUGAGCUUCGGAACUGGAGGGCUUCCUUUUUAAGCUAUGUCGCUGCUCAGAAGGCUUACGUAGAAGCACUCGAUGGCUGGCUGUCAAGGUUCAUUUUGUCCGACAUGGUCUAUUCUUCUCGAGGCAGAUCCUCGCUUCCGUGUAAUAAAACCCAGUUGCCCCCUUUGGUUGUGCUUUGCCAUGAAUGGUUCGUAGCAUUAAAUAAGUUAACCGAGAGGCCCGUAUCUUGUGCUAUGAGAAGUUUUAUUAGAAGCGCAAGGGUUCUGUGGGUUAAGCAAGGGGAGGAGCAGCAACAGAAGAGGAGAGUCGACAACCUCGCAAAAGAGAUCGAUAAAAGGGUUGUUGCUUUCAAGAGAGCAGAGAAUAAAGUCGUGGAAUCCAAGCUUUUGGAGUAUAAAGCUGAGUCGGAUGUGAAGCAAAAAAUCGAGAGCUUGUCGGAGAGGAAAGAGAUGCUAAACACUUUGCGGAAGAAAUGGGAGAGCGAGAAAGCGAAGCAUCAUGACUGCAUGAAGAACACCCAUGAGGUCACUCUCAACGGAUUCAAGAUAGGCUUGGCUAGUAUAUUCGAGUCGCUGACUGAGUUUUCGAAGGAGUCCCUUAAACUGUACGAUGAGCUCCUGGUGCACAACGAAGAGGCGAAGGUUCCCGAUAGGAUUGGCGAGAAACCAAAUGGUGUCGAGGGUUCGGAAUCACAUAUUGCAUUGGAUGGUAGAUGAUAAAAUGUUGUCCUCCUCCAGUAUAUUAAGCUUGGUAAUAGGUGAUUGGUUUAUUAUUAUUAGGUGUUAUGUGCUGCCCCCAGUUUUGGAUCCUCUUGAGACUUUGUUUCUAACUCAGGUUCUUCUGUAAGUAGUUGUUAGAUAGGAAUAGGAUUAGGAGGGUCAUUUUGGUGGGCAACUGUUGUUGUUGUAAGUAUUGUUUCGACACCCGACUUGGAAAGAAUUUGCUUAACUUUUUAUGGGAGCAAGAACAAUGAAUCAAGCAAGGUUUAAAGUAUUCAAUCAAUCCUUGUUUUGUUUCAAUUUGUAGAAAUUCGAAUCCAUUAGACCAUGUGAUUCAAUCAAUCCCUUUACUUCGUUGUUUUUUUUUCCCCUCAAUAUAUGAUUACCAUUUUGAGAACUGAGGUUACUAGGAUAAUGUUUGGAUUGAAAAGUUGAUGAAAAACAAUAACAGUUCGGGUUUUAAUACAUAUUGAGGACAAAUUGUUAUUAUCAGAACAAGCGUGCAGAACAAGAACGAUUUUAGCAUUGAAAACUAAGCAAGAUUAUCUGUAAGACAUGCCACCAGCAUGAUUUUUUGAUUAAUAAUUUUGAUUAAGAAACCGACUAUCCUUAACACAAAUAGUAAAAUGUUUGAUGAUUAGAAUUCAAAGUUGCUGUAUAUUUUCAGUUAACUUCAUUUGUUAAAAAAAAAAAAGAAAAAAGAACGAAGGGAGUAACAUGCUACUUUUUUGAAAUUUAUCCUCUGAGAUAAGAGUCUGCAUGCUUUAUUUAUUGUGUUCGUAUAAUAACCCGCCAGUAAAAUGUACUAUUUGUGAAUUGUUUACCAAGUUCGAGAGCAAUUAUUUAAACGUGCUUCUAUUAUAGAUCUUUGAUCAAAUCUCUGCAUAUCCUACUCUAUAAUUGGCCUAACUAAGUACAAAAGGUGAGAAAAAUUAUAUUACUAACCAAUACUAGCUAGUACUGCAGUACUAAACGCAAAAUCACUACUUUUUAAAGUGAUUAUAUCCUAAACACGUGAUUUCGAAGAAAAUCAAAGUCAUAAAUCUCCAUCAAUAAGCUUUGUAACAGGUACAGUGUAUAGCCAUUACAAUGUCAACUCUUUGACUUAUUUCAAGCAUUUGUGUUCAUGCUAUAGCACUCUGCAAAUCUAGCAGAUAGAGCUAAGAGCACUAGUUGUGCUCCAGGACAUGUUGCAAUGGUAUUCGUGAUAAAAAGAAUUAUCAGUAGGAACAAGGAAAAUAUUGUUAAGAGCCCACCUAUACUAGUGAAAAAUACAAGUACCAAGUUGGACUAUUGGUAGCAAAGAGUAGUAGAUUGAUAUUUGUGACAUGGAUAAUUUGUACAGAAAAAUCUAUUUUAUCCUCAAGUUAUGUGGUUGCACAUAACAACGGAGGAUAAUAUCAAUUGUACGUUGGUUCACGGCAGGAACAACUGAAAUAAAAAGUAUAAUACCUGACUCGCUAGCAAUUGUACAUUGGUUCACGUGCUUACUGGUAGAUUUUACAGUGAUUUGUAAAAUCAUGCGGGAUAAUUGUAACACGUGAAUGAUUGGAGACGAAGCGGGGAUAGUGCAACUAAUUAUGAACUAUCUUAGAACAAAUAAUAGAGAUUAUUAUCAAUAAACUAAGUAAUUUAAAACUACAAGCAAGUUUUUUUUUUUCCUUACCAGGUGGCGGUUCAUAGGGAGUUUCCGGCGCACCGGGUUAGAAUAUUUGCUUACGCGAACUUGGUCGGUGUUCGCAUUUAAGACCUAGCCAAGUGCAAUUCACCUGACCUGAAUUUAAGAAACAAAUCUAGCCCUAUUGGUAUCUUAAUUCAAACUAACAUCUUAGAUUCUACUCUUUCUUAACAAAGUCUUUUCAACCAUAUAGUUGAGCAACGAAGAUUGCGCAUGUUAGUUCUCGAAGAUGUACAAAUUGUUCAGAAGCUGCAGAGAAGAACCUCUGAAGAAAAUGAGAUUAUCUUUUGCACUAAGACAUAUUUAUGUUAAGAAUCAACAUACUUUAUUCAAUGUGUUCGUAUAAUUAAUAUAACCUAUCAAUGAAAUGUACUAUUCCUAAUUGUCUAUAAAGUUGGAGAACUACUUGAACAUACUUCUAUUGUAAAAAUCUUUGAUCAGAUCUUUUGAUAUCCUGCAUUAUAUUUGCCAUAGCGAAGUACGAAAGGGAUGAAGUCAUAUUAGUAAUAUAUGCUAAUACAUUCAUAGUAUUUGGCCAUUAAGAUGUUUUAGCUUUCUGACUUAUUGCAGGCCAAUUUAUUCAUACUAAUAUUUUCUGUACAUCCAGCGUUUGGUCAGAGGAUAGGGAUAGGAAUAGGCCCUUAUCCCCACCUUUAUACCCAAACGUUAAUUUUUUACCCGAGAAUAGUAGUUCUCGGUUAUCCCCGCCAACACCUUUAUUUUUCAUAUAAAACUAUCUAAAAUUGUUCUUAUUCCCAGGAACAACCCAAUUUUCAUCUAAACACUAUUUUUCUUAUCCCCAUACUUGUACCUAUCCCUGUAAUAGUUAGUUCUUACUUAUACCCGAACCAAACGGAACCAUAUAUAAGAGCUAAGAGCAUUGGUUGGGUUCCAGGACCAUGGUACAUACAAUACUUGGGGGGUAAAAAGAAUCAUGAUUAGGAAAGGAAAAUAUCACCAAGAACUCACCUACACUACUAAAUGAUAAGAGUACUAAGUUGGACUAUAUGCUGCAAAGAGUAGAUGAAUACUUUUUGUGUAUGUGACAUGAAUUAAGCUCUACUGAAUGGUUAAGUUACCUGAUUGGCUGGAACAGUGGAGGGCAUAAUCAAUUACAUGUUGGUUCGUGUUUUUCAUAUACAGUAGGAUUUGAACUUGAUACCUACGCCAAGGAAGAUGCCAACUAACUAUUCUACGACCUUGUCUGAUAAUAUGGUGGUCAAAAACGUCGCUUUUAUAUUUUAGAAGGCCCACAAUAUUUAAAGGUGUUUCUAAUUUUCUCUCAUUUAGGUUAUAAAAUUUUAUAGGCAACUGUUAAUUAUAUAAAAUAACUGUUGUUCUCUAAAAAUUUUAGGACCGUCUACUCUGAUAUCAUAUUGCAUUAUAUAAAAUAAUUGUUAUUUUCUAAAAUCUUAAGCCGGUAGACAAUAAUGUUUAAAUAUUUUUAUACUUAACAGUAACUAUAUGCUUCUUUAGUGACCGUUACCACCAUAUUUUUGUUGUACCGGAGAAAAAAAAAAAAAAGAAAAAAAAAGAAGAAGAUGGGAAACACUUCGGAAAAUUUUGGGCAUUUUAAAUUAAGAAGCUUGUACUUUACCCACCAUAUCACGAAAUUAGACGUAAGCGAUGGUGAAAUUUAAUGAUUAGACGUAGGAAUGCUUGUUUUAGAAAGAGACAAAUCGUAAAGAAAAAAAAAAAAUAGGGCCAAAUAAAAUUAAUGUAAUCCACAAUUAGUCUUCAUAAACUACACAUGAUAUAAAGGGUGGUAUUGAAAAACUAGCUUAGGAGAUGGACUUUGUAGGAUGUGUAUUCACCUAAUUAAACAAGUGGAGUAGGAAACAUAGUGCAUACGCAGUAAAUAAAUAACAUAAACAUAAUAUAAUCAAAUAGGAGAUCAUUACUGGUGAGCUAGAAGAGAUUGAUUGAAAACAACAAUCUUGUUCUCAUGUGUUAAAUUGCAUGAGGUGUCCCUUUUAACUUUUAGCUACUUUGAUCCUCAGCAGCUAUUAUUGUUUUUUGUAAUUAGGUUACCAAACUCUGCAUCGUGGUAUAAUCUUAAGUUUUUUAAAUGGAUUCCUGAGUCCAAAAAGAUCCAAAAUUCCAUACAACCACUCUUAUGGAUUCUAGUUCCUAAGUGGCAUGUUUGACCAUUCUAAGGACAUAAUUUAACAGAAUAACUAAUAUUGUAAUAAUAUUAUAGAAAGACUACGAAGCUAAAAAAGUAAAAAGGUAGGUGAACUAAAACUUUUAGAAAAUGUUUAAGUCAGGAUUCCUUGCACAAUUUUACCAAGUUCAAUUUUAAAGUCAAAGGUAGCAACUCACCUCAUAAAGAUGGGUAAAAAUAUACAGAACUUACUCGAACUACGGAUCACUUUAUUUAACUAUCCAAUUCUUCAAAAUUUUAAUUUAAAUAUUUAAAUAUUUAAAUUGUUUGAUUUGAGUCGGUCGACGUCAUUUUGACCUCAAAAUUUGAAGUUAGUAUACUUUAUGCAAUUCUCGCAACUAUAAACUUAUUAAAAUAAGUAACUAGCUUAAAUUUUGAAGCCAGGGUAUCGUUGACCGACUCAAAUAAACAAGUUGAAAGAUUGAAUAGUAAAAUCACGAUGGCUUACAGCGCAGGUAAAUUCUGUACAUUUUGACCCAGAAAGAUAUCGACAUAUCGUGUGAGAGAGAAUUAUGGGUUUAUAAGUAAUCAAAUUUGAACACAAUUUAGUUCUUUAUUCCUAGCCAUAUAAGAAACCAAUACCCACUUCUCCUGGUCUAUCUAUCUAUCUAUCUACCCAACAAUCUCUGCAGAGGAAUUAAUGCCAGAAUUUCCCACAAAGCUUAAAAGAAACAAAGUCACGAGCUUGGCCUUCAAAUUCAACACCAGCCUCUGUACUCUUUUUUUUUUUGGUCAUUAAUGCACCCAAUUCAAGUGGAGAAUUUUUAUUUGUUUUCUUAUUUACUUUUUUUUUUUUUUUUUUUUUCACUUUUUGGUUGUGAAGAACCAGGCAUUGAAAGUAUCAGCAAACUAUCCUAAUUCGCGGUGGUCGAAUUUGAGGAUUUUAAGAGUAUGAUUAAUUUGUUUAUAGUUUAAUGUUCAGAAUCUUUAAUUUUCAUUCAUGUUUAUGUUGGAUAUAAUUCAUGUAAUUUAUUCAAAGCAAUCUAUAAAGAUACAGUUAGUCUAUUCAAGUUAUCUAUAAAAAUAUGAUAGAUCUAACGAUUAGGAUGUAUCUGGACGCAUUUUUGAUGAACAUACGUGAUUUAAUAUUCUUAUAUUAAGUUAUAUAUAAAUAUGUAAUAUACGGAAGUUCUGAUCUAAUCCUAAUCUAAUUUUCUGUGACGACUCUAUCUCUGGAGAUAAAGAAAUUAGACUCCAAAUGUCAUGUUUUUUUGCAGCUCGCGAAAGAGAACGAACCACGAGCAAAAUCAUCGCUUAUAAAUCGAAUACAGAAAUCAAAAUCAUGACAGCAGGUGCAAUCUUAAUUUCUAAUAAAGUUUCAACCGUUUACGGUUAAUUGUAUUCUGAGCUUUCUUCUGACCAAACACUGUCGCUUUUAAAAGAGUAUCCCGCGAGAAAUGCAAAUGUGAUGUGAACAACUUUGAAAUAGAUAUGGGUUAAAUUUGUGUAGCUAUGUGUAACAUAACCGCACGGACAUGAAGUGAUAUUCCAUAAUAGAUAUACGUAUUACAACCUUAAGUAUCAGGUAUACAACUCAUUUACACAGUCGAUCGAAAAGGAAACUAAAUUACCGCUGCUGCGUUUAGUGUUGGCAUAGCACAAGACAAGAGAGAUUUUAAAAUUAAGAUCGAUCUACAAAAAGGAGUUCAUCUCCAAGCAAGAAAGAGUCAGCAGAUCGCGCCUGCACAGCGGACAGGAGCCGUGCAUGAGGAGCCAGCCGUCGAUGCACGGCAGAUGGAACUUGUGCUGGCAGGACGGCAGGCUCCGGGCGGCCUCUCCGACCUGCAAAUCCUGCGAGAACGCAAGAUCGAAAAUCGUCGGUGUCUGUCGAGAAAAACUAACUUCACAUGAUAGUUCUUCUUGCUAGAAUGAGUUGUUCUGUUGUAUAUAUAGUGUAGCAUGGGCGAACCUGCAAGCAGACCGAGCAUCGGAUUCGGUCGCCGGAGGAGUCGACGUUGUUGGCGACCGUGAUCUCGAUCUCGGGGAGCUUCUCGAUCGAGGCCUUGGCCAUGCCGUUCGAGCCUCCGGUUUCGAAGAUGUCCAGAGCCUCUCUGAAGGGCGAGUCCACCGCAUUCAUCUGCGCAUACAAAAUGGAUCCCAAAUUCUAUCAGCCUUAUUAGAAUUCGAGUACAAAUCGGCGCCGAGAUGUGAAUAUAUUACCUGGCUCUGGACUGCACUCUGCACGGUGGGAUCGACCUUCUCGCGGACGAGUCUUCCACUCAAAAGGCUACAGAUUAUGUCGAUCUGCGUAGAGGAAUUAAUAUAUAGUGUUCAUCGUAUAUGUCGAAUCAACCCAUUUUUAUGUGUAAUUUUGGGUUAGGAGAAAUAGAGCUCACGACGUAGAGAAUGCUCCAAAUCCCGGACUCGUUAUUUCGCCAGAGAGCGAGAGAUGAGUCCACCACCUCUAACGAGACCAAAACUCCUGUAAUCGCCCCUGUUCCGCUCCCGCGGAAUACGCCGCUCUCAGUGGCUAGACCGAUUAGACCCCCUGUUACAGCUCCUAGGAACAAACCAACUAGAAACCACAGAAAAAAAAAAAAGAAAAGUAUAUAUAUAUAUAUAUUAACAUGAUAUCAGAGCGAGCUGUCAUGUACUAGUAUUCGUUAAUUUUGAAUAGUGUCGCAUUUCCAAGAGUUGUGAUCUUAAUCGAAAAGAAAAAAGAAGGACCUGUUGCGAAGAUGCAGGUGAUGAGGGCGCGGAUGAGGCGCGCGAGUAAGCGCGCGGGGCGAGAGGUUCUCCUGGGCGUAGAAGCUCCGCGGUUGAUUCCGGAGAGGUAGGAGGAGAAGGUGUUGGGGGGCGACGACGCGUGGGGAAGCGCGCUGAUCACUUCCAUUGCUUUCGCCUCUGCUUUUGCUUCUGCUUCUGCCUCUGCUUUCGCUUUUCUUGUUCGACUUCUUCUGUAUUUGUAUGUGUCUGUGUGUGUGUGUGUAAGAGAGAGAGAGAGAGAGAGAGAGAGAGAGGAGUAUUGUGUUGUUGGUUUAGGUGCCUUUAUAUAUACGAGUUAUAAAGAGAGAGAGAGAGAGAGAGGUACCUGUGUGACAUUAUUGGACGGUUGUUUGGGUUUUAUGUAUUCCUUUUUUAUGUUUUUUUUUAUUUUUUUAUGAACAAAUUUUAUUGUAGUUUAUAAACUAUAUAAUAAUUAAAAUAAUUUAAUUGGUUCACUUCAGCUAAUAAUUUUUCUCUUCCGGUUAAAUAUAAAAAUAUUUUAAAUAUUGCUCUCUAACAGCUUAAACAACAGCUUAAGUUUUUAGAAUACAAUAGUUAUUUUACAUGAUAUCAAAAUAGGAGAUUCUGAAUUCAAGUCAAAUUAGGCUUCCAGCAUAAUAAUUUUCUUUCAUUUAAUUCAAACGCAUGUCAUGAGCCGACGAUCCAGACGUAAUAGCUUACUCUUUUAGAGUGCAACGGUAGCUUUGAGCUUGAACGGAAGAAAAAGAAACACUUGUCAUAGUCAAAAUGUAUCCCGACAUAACAAUUAGGGACGCGAUUCUCAUUUGGUCCAACCUGUCCUCCGCCAUAGGACAUGACAUUGAACUCAUUUCAGCCGACAAUUUCUUCGUGAUUUACACUUUUCUAUCAAUUACGUAUCACAAUGUAAACUAAUUUGUAAAGCACUGUAAAAUUUGUUUAUGAGCAUAACAUUAUAAAAAUACUAUCUUGAAACUCUAGGGUACGUGGUGCACAUCUUGCACAUAAAAAUUUAUAUAUUUUUUAGAACUUUUAAUAUUAAAUAAAUUAAUAAGAUAAUUAAAGGUCAUUGCGUAAGAUUUAUUAUAUCUAGAAAUCUAGGUGCAGCAUUGCCCAUUCCUUUACGAGAGAUGAUGGGUUGAUUAUCAAAAGGCAUUUGUAAUGGUACAAUAUCACUAUUUAAGAGUCAAUUUUCCUUGCACCAACCUUACCUUUUUUUUUUUCUUUUUCUUUUUUUUUUUUUGUAUUGUCAAAACAGUGCUAUUAAAAACCUUGAAUUAAGCUGUCCAUAUGUUCCAUAAAUAGAUAUAAAACUUACACUCAUAGUCUUCUUAUAGCCCAACUUAAUCUACUUAUAUAAUUUUUUUUUUUUCUGUUUACUAAAACCCAAAGUGAUGAUAUUAAGGGCCUGUUUGGCCUAGCUUCUGGAGAAGUGAUUUCUGUAAAAGUGAUUUUGGUUUGAAUAAUUGAUUUUGGUGAAAAACUAUAGAGCGUUUGGUUGAAUUUAAAAAAAAAGUGAUUUUUCUGCAGUGAUUUUCUAAAGCUGUUUGGCAAUAAAUUUUUGAUGUUUGCAUAUAUUAAUAUUUUUACUAAAUUUUACUUUUAAAAUAAUUUAAAUUAAAAUUUUAAAUUUAAUUAAAAGUAUAAUUUUUAAGUUUCAAACUUGUACAAAAUUUUUUUUUUGAAAUUUCAAAAUUUUAAAUUUAAAAUCUGAAUUUUAAAAUCUAAAUUUAAAUUUUCAAAUUUAAAAUUUUCAAUUUUAAAAAUAAAAAUAAAAAUAAAAAUUUAAAAUUUAAAAUUUGUGUUAUGCAUGUUUCGUGCAUUAAAAAUAAAUAAAAUAUUAUUCUAUCACGUUUUCUGACCAAACUUAAUGAACUUCUACGGACAAUGCCAAACAAAACCAUAAAAUGAGCUUAGCAGUUUUUUAAUUUUUUAAAACUUUUUUUUGGCCAUUUUACAAAAGAUGCUUUUGGAUUAAUUUGGUUAAACUAUGCUGCAAAAUAUAUCUAAUAAGAACAAAAGUAGAAGAGUCUAUCGAAUCCAUCCAUCCUUAUAUAAUUUACAGCUAAAAUUAUAAAAAGGACAACAAAACUAAAUAAGGGUUGAAUUUGCAAUUUUUUGGUUGCAAUUUAUAACUAAACAGUGGCUCAUUGCGAACUAUGCAAAAAUGAUAAUGACAGUAAAGUCGUCAAUUCCAACUUCGUGUAGAAAUACUAUUCUUUAAUAACUAUGCGAAAUAACCGACCGUCCCUAGAGCAAAUGGCAAAGGGCUUGGUGGUUGGUACCCGAGACCCAAGUUUGAAUCCUAGUUGAUUCACAUUUCAGCUAAGUUUAUUUCUAAAUGAAAUAAACGAUGCGGGUAGCGUGUUACCUAUCUCUCAAAAAAAAAAAAAAAAAACUAUGCGAACUAUAAAUUACAGAAUACUAUUUUCUGACAGAAAAUAAGAGUUAUUUUACGUAACAGCAGUGCAAGUAACAUGCACGUUAUUAAUGUAGAUUAUUAUGUGAGAUGACUUGUAUUGGCCUUUACAGCUUAUAAAAAUGAAUGAUUCAAUUAUUCAAUAUAUAUAUAUAUAUAUAUAUAUAUGAGGAGAAAGAAAAGGACAAGUAUAAAAUCUCCCUUGCACAUCGAUCGAGUGCCUAACCAGCUUCUGAAUCGACAUUUAUUGCUUCAAUUAUUCAAUGCGUUACAAAAAUUAUUAUCUUUCUUUCUAAUAUAUAUUUUCACCAUUCGAUCCAAAAUAGCGACUUGAUUUUUAUUCUUUUCACGCGAACUCUUCACUUUUAUAAUAUCAAAAAGAAAGAAAUUAAAAAUCUAUAAAUUUGAGUCAAUUUCUCAAUAAAUUUGAGUCAUUCUAUAAUAAAAAUCUAAUUUUUAAUUUUGAAGACUGAAUUCAAGUGUAAUAUAUUUAAAAGUUAAGAAAAUAAAAUAUUUAAAUUGAAUUACACCAGUAACACAGCCGAAUUCGGGAUAGUAUAGGGUCGUCACAGAAUUAUAGCAUUUCAGAAAUGUUGUAUAUGGAUUAGAAAGUUGCUAGAGACUUAAUAUUUUUGCUAAUGGAUUAAUUAUAAUUUUUCCCUAAGUAUGAGAACAUAUAACAAAAUCUCUUAAAACAUAGAAGUACAAUAUUCCUUUUUUUCUUUGAAAAUCGAUUAAAAAUUUAAAAUAUUUUAGAUAGAAAACAUGAAGAAUUAAAAAAAAAAAUAUUACAAAUGCAAACACACCUCACCCCAUUCAUUACGGACGAAAAAGUGACCAAACGAGGGUCCCAAACCGAGAAAAAUAAGUAUACAAUAUAUGUUUCAGAUCUAUGUAUAUUUAUUGCUUUGCUUAGAUCUAAAUUGGAUGCAACAUAGAGGGUAAAUUACCUUUCGGGCCUCAAAUUAUGAGGCCAUUGUCAUUUUGGUCCUCAAAUUUUAAAUUGUUUAUAAUUUUUGGCUAAAAUUGUUACAAUUAAGUCUCUCAACCUAAUUAGCUAACUAUUGAUAAAUUACAAAUGUGAAAGUGAUAAAUAAUCUUAAUUAUUGUCGUAUCAUCAAUCAAAAUACUUCUGCAUCAAUUUAUUGUCGUAUCAUCAAUCAAAAUACUUCUGCAUCAACAAUUAAUUAAUAUUUAGCUAACUAAAUUAGGUUGUAAAGCUUGAUUGCAAUAUUUAAUUAGUUUGACUUAAAAAUUAUUAUAAAUUAAAAUUGAGGACCAAAGUGCCACACGUUUCAUAGUUUGAGGACCGGAGUGUCACCAUCCUCAUAUUUGAGGAUCAAAAGUGUAAUUUACCUUCUCAUAAAUGUGCUCAUAAUUAAAUUAGUUGGACAAGGUAUGGCACAAAAAAUAUCUCUCAUCUCCUUGAAUUGAAGGGAUUAAACUUCGAGGUAAUUUAAAUUGUACUCGUGAAAAAUGUUAAAUUUUCACACAAAUUCCUCUAAAAUUGAUAAUAUUAACAAUUUUUCGAUAAGCAUAAAAAUUAUUGGGGCAAUUUCUUAUAUACCCCUGAAAGUUUCCAAUUUUUCGAUUUACCCCUCUUAGAAGGCUAAUAUUGAAAAUACCCCUCCUACGUUCCAACCUAUUUCUAAUAUACCCUUAGAGUUAUAAUCUGUUAAAUAACACUGUUAUCUCUGUAAAAUUACUCUUUUACCCUUUUCAAAUAUACCCUUCCACCAUCAUUGUCUUUCUUAUUUGCCCUUAAAGUCAGGGGCACAAAAAGUAUUUCAACUUUUUAUCUUUUUCAAUAUACCCCUCUACCGUAACCAACCUUUCUUAUUUGCCCUUAAGAUAAGGGCAAAAUUGGCAUUUUAAUUUUUUUUAACUGUGAUAAAUAUUUAACUCACGUUUAACUCAGGUUAACUUAACAGGAGAUAACUACGGGGGUAUUUUGCAAUAACGGUGGAAUAUAUGAAGGGCAUUUUAGAAAGAAAAAAAAAGUAGGGGUAGAUCGGAUAUUUCCAGACGCAUGAGGGUUAUAUAGGCAAUUAUCCCAAAAUUAUUUAUAUAAAAAUAAUCUUUUUCCAGGGUAUUUUCGGUUAAAAUGCAAGUGAAUAAUCAUACUCUAAAAAGAGUCCGUAUAUUUAUAAGGACAUUGUCGAUAUUUAUUUUAUAUAAAUAUUAAUACGGUCAACACCGUCCUAUUAACUUAAUCUCAUUUUAUGUUUUAAUGCUUAGUUCGAUGUAAUUAUAAAUACUAUAUAUAAGUAAAGAUGCAUAUAGUUAAAAAUAAAAUAGUUAUAAUUAUUGUAAAUAAUAUAUUUGACUAAAGAUAGUAGAAAGCACUAUAAUUAUAAAUAAUUUAUUUAAUUUAUGCAAUUGAAAAGUAUGUGUGUAUAUAGAGCGGAGAGAUUAACCAUUUAUAGAAAAAUAAAAUAUUUUAUGUAUAACAUGUUAUUAGAAAGGUAAGUUUAUAUUUUGUUUAACGUUACGCUCUCCAUCUACUACAGCUACAAAUGCGGUCAAUUUGUGUAUUGUUCUAGUUGGUGCAAUUAAAUUUGUUCGUACAAUUUCAAUUGCAGCAGUGGAAUGAAAUACAUCAAACUAAAAAUAAGAUUUGAAUCUAUAUGCAUUUAUAACUGCAAUACAGUUGUAACUACAAACAAUUUAAUACAGUUAUAACUAUAUACAAUCUAGGGCUGUCAACGAGCCGAGCAUGAAUAAGCUGGACUAGCUUAUGUUCGACUCGUCUAAUAAACGAGCCGAACACAAGCUGGCUUGUUAAAAUAUCGAGCUGAAAAAUUUAGCCAUGUUCGACUCGUUCUGACUUGCGAUUAGUAAGUUAGAUUGUCAAACGCCCUACUAAGUGAAAAAUUGGAAGAAAAUUAAAACUUAAUCUAAUAAUUGAAAUUCACAAAAUAUAGAUCUCUUUAUAUUUAAAUUGGCCUAAAAUUCAAAUAGUAGAAAUAUAUAUAUAUAUAUAUAUAUAUAUAUAUAUAUAUAUAUAUAUGCUUUCGAAAGUAUGAAGAUCUUCAUGCUUAUAAGUUAUUUUCGAUGAUAGAAUAUCUGAUUCGGUCAUCGUUUCUGUUAGACAUGAUUUACGCUCUGGAAACUAUUUAGAAAUCAAAUUUUAUAAUUUUUUGACUUUAUUUGUCUAGUGAACGAGUAGCUUAAAAAUAAACGAUUGAAAAUAAAAAUCUCAUAAAAAAUAAUAAUAAAAGACUUAAAUUUCAAAUCAGAAGUAUUGAUUUUGCUAUUGAUGUUAAGUAGAAUUUUGUAUUAAAAUUUCAUGUAAUUUGGAUUGUUCUACAUCGUUAAACUUUAAAACGGGCUACAUCGACUGUUAAAAUAGUCAUUUUUAAAACCUUUUAAUCAUGUGGUAAAUGAUGUCGAAAAAUUAUAAAAUUUGGUUUCUAAAUAGUUCUAAUAGUUUCAAUUACGUAGAUUAUGUCUAACAGAGCUGAUUGUUAAAUUGGAUGUCCUAUUAUUGAAAACAACUUAUAAGUACGGAGGCCUCCGUACUUUUGAAAGUACGGAAGACGUACUCUCUCUCUCUCUCUCUCUCUCUCUCUCUCUCUCUAUAUAUAUAUAUAUAUAUAAUGCUAUUAAUAGCACCAAGUCAUUUGUACUAUUAAGUUUUUAGCCUUCAAAUGAAGAAAUAUACGAUUAGGAUAGUGCCACUAGUGUACGUUUGGUUCGGGGAUAAAAGGGGGGUUAGGGGGUUAACUCCUCUUUUAUCCCCAAACAGAAUGCCUCUAGGGUUGAGUACAUGGCUGGUGGAAUAGUAGGAUCCAAGGGAUGGGAAUGGGCAAACGGGUAGAUUAAACGACGAAACACUUGGUAGCACCAAAUGUUUGGUACUAUUAAUAGCAUUGUAGUCGGACUAUAUAUAUAUAGAGAGAGAGAGAGAGAGAGAGAGAGAGAGAGCUACAUCGAGCCGAAUACGAGUAAGCUUGUCUAAGGUCAUCAAUAUUUCAAGCUAAAAAAUUUAACUUGUAUUCGGCGCGUUUAUUAAACAAGCGAUCGAUCUCGAGUUCACUUCGAAUCGAACACGAGCUGGCUCACGAAUAGCAAGUUAAAUUGUUAGCCCUAAUGCAAUCAAACAACCUCUUACUAGAAAACAAACUGGCCGCUGUGGUUGUUGCGGUUCCUACUUUGGGUUUUUUUCUAAAAAUUAAGCAUAAUUAAGAGGCAAAAAAGGAAGGGAUCAUUUAAGAAAUACUUUAUACGUGGUUGGUGCAGGACAAACCCACAGUUUUGGAGCAGUGCAGGCCAUAAUACCCUGUCAUGAUCAAUAAUAAAUCUCACCCAUUAAACCGUUAGCGUUAGGUGUGAGGUCCGAGCCACACAUUGACACAACAUUCGGAUUGGUCCCAGGUUGUUGGUGUUAUUCUUUUUUUACCCCCUUUUUUCCUCUUUUUUUUUUUUUACUCUCUUUUGGGUUUGAUUUUUAAUUACCCCAAUCCAACCUAAUGUUAAGUAAACAACUAUUAUUUACUAAGAACUCACAGUUUUACACUUUUGAGGAUUAAACAAUCGCGGUUCUACAAAAAUUUAAGCUCGCAAAAAAAAUUGAUGAUCUUACGUAUUGUAUUCAAAUAUUUUGGAUUAGAUCCGAAUGCAAGUUUACUUAUAAAGAGUUACAUUUUUAACUCACCUUCUACUUUACCCCUAUCAGUGCAGAUGAUACAGAAAAGAAUCUGCAUAUUUUUGGUGCGGUAAAACCGUAAAAAGCAGAAGUAAGAUUUUAGAGUAUUAGAAACGAAAACUCUAUUUGAUGCUUGUAUAUAACUUUGUUGCUUUUAAUAGAAUUACACAAACAACGCGUAUUAAACAUCAUUACACACUACAUCACCGCCAAAAUGGCUCUUAGUUUGGACUAGCUUACUUAAUCUGGUUCAGAUGUCUUAUUUCUAUUAAAUUUGAUAAACAAAACGUAAGGAAAACUUUAGUUAAUUCUUCUUAGAAUAUACUUAACCAUCCCAUAAUUUAAAAAAACUAAGGCUUGCGACUGUAUGGUUUUAUUUUUGCUUCAUUAUAAAAAAGUAUAGUAAAUAAGAUUUAAGAGGCACCUCACAAAACAAUGUGGUAUCUUACUCUUUGAUCAUUUACACACAAUUGUAAGAGACACAUAUCCAAAAAUAUAUUGUUGCAUUAUACUAUGUACCUUAUGGUAUUAUUCGGUUCGAAAAUAAGUUGUUCUUGUUUAUUCUCCGUACAAGCAUAAUUUUUAGGAUAAACAAAAAUUAGACCAAUUUGCAUUUGGAUGAAAUUGGAUUAUUUUCUUCUCUUUUUUUUGAGAAAAAGGUAGCAAGCUACCUGCUUCAUUCAUUAAGUAAUAUGAACUGAGAGUACAAGAUGGAAGCAACUAAGGCUUCCGCUAAAGGCAAGGAGAAAAAAAACAAAAAAGGUGAAAAUAUUACAAAAUUGCAAAAUUACAAAAGCAAUAGGGUGCGUGUCUAGCCGUUUAUUUAUUACAGCGCUUUCCAGUCGCUCGUCAACAUUUUGACCCAUUCAAGUGACCUGCUAGCAUUGGUCGGUAUUGCUCGGAACACAGCAUUGUUUCUUUCCCUCCAAACCAUCCAUCAGAUCGCUGCUAGCGAGAUAAGUCUUUUCGAUCGCGUAGAAUUGGCAGGAAAGGUAGUGGUAGCUGUCUAGAGCCUGCAGACAUCACUCAAGGUAUCAUCAUGUGUGUGCCAGCCUCCAACACAGAGGAGUAGGUAUCGAACGAAGACGCAGUUGCAGAAAAGAUGAUCACAGCUUUCCGCUAACAUGGCGCAGAAAACACAAUUUUGGUCGACAGCCAUCCCCCUAUUUAUCAAUCUAUCGGCUGUGGGUAGCCUCUUCCGGAGCAGCAACCAGAUAAAGACUUUGACUUUGGAUGGAACUUUCAGGGUCUAGAUGUCAUUGUUUGUCCGGUUUAUCUCUCCAGCAUUUGUGAUGAACAGGUAAAGGGUUUUGACGGUAAAUAAUUGGUUCGAAGUCCAUCUCCAUUUGCACGAGUCUGGUUUGUUGCAAGGGGCGCGGUUUCAAAGUAGGUCUUUGAGCAUCGCUAGUUGUCCGCGCCUAUCAGCGGAUUGGGACGUUGCAAAUCCACAACAGAUGAAACGCCAUCGCCACCCGUUUACGUUCCAGCACUGAGAAAGUCUGGCCUCCUUGUUUGUGAUGUUUGCAAAAAUAUUAGGGAAGAGGGUGCGAAGUGGCAGUUCUCCAAUUCAGAUGUCCGACCACAUUCUGAUGUCCUGUCCGUCACCUAACUCGUAGGUUAUACCGCAGGUGAAAACCUCACGGCAUUGGAGAAUGCUCUUCCACCAUUACGAAUGUGGGGCGAAGGCUCGGCCCUCACGUAGAGGUCUUCUUCUGGUGUAGUAGAAGGUUCUAAUUAGUUUGCACUAAGAUAGAUUAGGCUUAUUAAAGAAGCGCCACCACCAUUUGGUUAGGAGAGCCAAGCUCAUGGAGUCCAGAUCUUUAAUUCCUAAUCCCCCUUCACUCUUACUUUUACAUACGGAUUUCCAAUUGACGAGACAUUCACCUCCGACAAUUUUGGACCUGCCUUUCCGAAAGAAGGCUUGUUACAAAGCUUCUAUCCGAUGCAGCACCCAUCUCGGUGCUUUGAAUAUGGAGAAGUAGAAGAGCGGCAGGUUGGAGAAAAUCGAGUUGACGAGAGUAAGUCUUCCCCCAAAGGAGAGGAGCUUGGCUUUCCAUCCGUCAAUUCUUUCCUCUAUGCGGUUGAUGAUCAAUCUCCAGUCUUCCUUACGGAGUCUCUUAUUGUGGAGCGGUAAACCCAGGUAGUGGAAAGGUAAGUUUCUGAUUCGACAUCCUAUUAUGUUGGCAAGUUUGCCGGCUUUGCGGGGAUUUUGGCCAAUGUAGAAAAAAAUCUGAUUUGUUCUUAUUUACUUUUAGGCCAGAGGCCCAUUCGAAGAUGUUCCAGACGAAUAGCAGGCUGCGUAAGAAGUGCUUCCGUGGCUCACAGAAAAAAAUUGUAUCGUCGGCGUAUUGGAUAAGCACCAUUCAACAUUCCACGGAUAGGCCAAUGCCUCGAAGCAGGUUAUUAUUUGUUGUCGUUUCAAUCAUCCUAGCCAGACUGUCCGCAACCAAUAGGAAGAGGUAGGGGGAGAGGGGAUCACCCUGUCGGAGACCCUUUCUUGUUUUCAACCAUCCAGUCGGAAGGUCAUUCACUAGGAUGGCUACUUUCGCAUUGCAUAGACAUUGCUCUACCCAACCCCACCAUGUUUCCGAAAAUCCUAGCCAGUUUCAUAAAUAGAAAAGUACGAUUUUGAUGGUUAGAUUGGAAUAGUAAAAAUAAGAGUACUUAUAGUUUUAAAAUAAAUAAAUAUAUAUUUAUCUAAUUAAUUAAUAUUAAAAUAUUAAUUAAAUAAUAAUUUAAUGAUUUAAUUGAUUAUUAAAUGGAGAAGUACAUUAAUUAAUUAAAUAAUACAUGCACUCCUUCUGUUCUAAUUGUCCCUUAAAAGUAAUAAAAAAAUAAGUUAUAAUUAAUUAGCUAAUUAUUUAGUUAGUUAGAUAAUUAAUUAAAAAAUUAAUUAUAUUAGGCAAAAUAUGAAUACUGAUUACUGAAGAAACACUUUAAAUAGGAACAUUUAAAUAGCUAAUUAAUUAUUAAUUAUAAAUAAUAAAUUAAUUGCUCAAAUGGUUAAUUAAAUAUUUUUAUUAAUUUAAUAAGUCAAAUGGUUAAUUACUUACUUAGUGAACUAAUACAUAAUACUUGAAUUAGUAAUAUUUUAUAAUAUAAUAAUUUAUUAUUUAAUUAAUGAAGAAAAUUAAAGUGUGAAAUUAAGAAUUUAAGUGCCGUGACACAGAAUCGUAUCGGAAACUUAUCGGCAUGAUAUAGCACGGUACGUUCCAUACCAUGCUGAUGUGUACCGAUCAAAAAAAAUUCAUAUUUGUCGAUAUAUAAUAGCACAAAAUAUUUUUUUUUUUAGCAACAAAAUAUGCUAAUAGUUUAUUAUGAAUUUUUAUCAAAUUUUUUAAAGUUUAUUGAGAAACUAAUUUAAAGAAGGGGCAAUUGCUUAUAUACCCCUGAAAAAUUCCCGACUUUCCGAUUUACCCCUCCUAUUGAAAAUACCCUUUCUACGUUCCAACCUAUUUCUAAUAUACCCCUAGAGUUAAAAUCUGUUAAUUGACUCUAUUAUCUCUAUAAAAUUACUAUUUUACCCUUUCAAAUAUACCCUUCGACCAUCACGGACUUUCUUAUUUGCACUUAAUGUCAGGGGCACAAAAAAUAUUUUAACUUUUGGUCUUUUCCAAUAUACCCCUCUACCGUCACCAAUAUUUCUUAUUUGCCCUUAAGUUAAGGGCAAAAUUGGCAUUUUAAUUUAUUUUAACUGUGGUAGAUACUUAACUCACGCUUAACCAAAGUUAACUUAACAGAAGAUAACUGCGGGGGUAUUUUGAAAUAAUUGUAAAACAUGUGAGGGGUAUUUUAGAAAGAAAAAAAAAAGUAGGGAUAAAUCGGAUAUUUUCUAACGUACGAGGGGUAUAUAGGCAAUUAUCCCUUUAGGCACCGUUUGGAUAGGGGAUAAGGAUAGGGAUAUCCUCUUAUCCCCUUUAUACCUAAACGCUAAUUUUUUAAUUUUUUACCCGAGAAUAGCAAUUCUUGGUUACCUAUAAUAAUCGGGUAUAACUAUUCCCACCAAAUAUUAAUGGUGGCCAGGGUCAUUAAUGAUCUCUGUGACUAUAUAUAUAUAGAGCGACAAUACUCUUAAAUAUAGACCAUAUGUAUUCAUAAAUUUACGACCGUUGGAUAAAGAAAUAUGCGGUUAAGAUGAUUAUAGUCCCCAGUUAGAAUGAUAGUGAUCUUUUAGGAUUGAAUAGGUGGUUGGUUGAACAAAUCUACAUGCAACUCAACAUUAUCAAAUAACAGAAUAAAGAAACCGCAGCAUAAGAGACUGAUCUAUCGGCUAGUUUUAUUUCUUCCCUCUAUAUAUAUAUACUAGUGAAGGCACCCGCGCGUUGCAGCGGGUAGAUUCUGUAUAAAUAAAUAAAUAAAUAAAGCUGUCGAAAAAAAUUUAGAUAUUAAACUUCAUUCCAUGCCUAAAUUUUUAUGAAUAGUAUAAAAAAGAAUGAGUUAUCCUAUAUCGGAAAUAGAGAUAUUUUAAUUAUAUUUUCAGUUUAGUAAUAAUGUAUAUAGUGUAGGAAUUCACGCGAUGCGGCGGAUAAAAAUUAAAAACUUAUAGAGUUCUUACUUUUUUUCGAGAAAGGAGUGAUCGAGGGUAGGAGUGGAGGUCGUAUAAGAGUUCGAAAUUGUUGCAAAUGGGCGUGAUCACACAUCCUCCUUGAACGCGGCGCCCCCGUCCACGGCCUUGAGCGCCGCGCACAUCUCGUCAAGGGCCUCGCGGAUCAUCCGCUCGAACCGCGCGCGCACGGACGUGGCAGUAGCGAGGUCCGCCAUGCGGAGGAAGGUCUCCAGCCGCUCCUCCUCCGAGGUCUCCUUCUAGAUGGCCACCGCCGUGUGGACGGCGGCGGGGCCGGCGGAGAGGAGGCGCCACCGAUCGGAGGGGCGGUGGCGAGGGAGGGUGCGGAGGGAGAGAAAAGGUUGGGAUUUUAGGAUUUAGGAUUUGGAGAAGCUAUAUUUACUACCACAUAUUAAUUUAUUAUCUAAAAUAUAGUAUUUAUUUAAUUAAUUAGGAAAGAAAAACAUAUGCAUGUAAUAUAUAGCUAUCAUUAGCAACAUUAAAUAUAAUAAGAUAGUAAAAGUAUAAACAUAUAAAACUGAAGCAAUUAUUCUUGGGCAAUAAUUAGACAGUUUUUUUCCUUUAUAAUUAAUGUCUUAAAUAUUUCACUAUUAAAAAAUUUAAAGGAGAUAUAAAUAAAAUUAAAGAGUAAUUAAGAGGUGAGUAUUAAUAGAGUUAUAACUAUUAAGAACAUUAAAUGUAAGAAUAAAAAAAAAUGAACCACCAUUAAAAGAUAUAAAAAAUUUAAAAAAUUUAAAAAAAAGAGGGCUUGCCAUGUCAUCAAUUUUAUUGGGGAUUCAUAUAGAGUUAUAGAUAUAUAGUCCUUUUUGCUCAACAUCUGCGCGUGAUAUGUUUUACCUAAUAUUUAUCAUGCACGUAAGAGUUUUCAAGACUUUUUUUUUUCCUUCUUUUGAUGUUUCUAUUAGAUCGAAAAUUUAGAUCACAUAGAGAACCGUGCUGUCAAUACCGGAAAAGAUGUCGGCCAUUUUAAAGCUCACAUUAUAUGAGAGCUGAAUGCAGCAGGUCAUAGUGUGGUCCAAAGGAUCUAAUGGCAGGCCUUAAGUACUCCCCUAAUCUAAAAAAAUCUCUCUAAUAUCUAUACCAACCUAAUAUUCUCCAAAAGGUCAGGAGCUCGAGCAUCCAUUUCGAGACGCGCAAGCAGAGAUUGAACCCCUAAACUGUGGGAGGACGAUCGAGAUAACAACCACUAAAAUUAUCUAAUGGUUGUUUCUUUCAAUCUUUGGUGUGUUAGAGGGAUUAGAGAAUUCAUUCUAGCCUUAGGUCAGAAAUGGAAGAAGCCCGGUCCCUGAAGUGCCUGACAAAACACCAGCCUUGGCCAUUCAAAUUUACUGAAAAAAAAAAAAAAAAAAAAAAAAAAAAAAAAACACUGCAUACACUUUCUUUCAUUUCAAUCAGUCCUCUUUAACUCUGGAUUUUUCUUAACCGACGGCUGCUAGAUGGAGACCAAAAUAACCACAAAUUUCACCCCUACUACAUGAAAAUUAAAGAAACUAAAUACGAACUUUUAAUAAUCAAAGGAUUAUCACCAACUGUCUUUAACACAAAUGACAAAAAAAUUUGAUAGUUGAUAUCCGAGAUUGCAAGUGCGAAGCUUAGUUGUUUCACUUUUCGGUUAAAUUUAUUUCUAAAAAAAAUAAAAUGAAAUGGAUAGCAGGUUAAUUAUUUUUAAAAAAAAUUAAAAAAAAAAAAUCAAAGGACUAUCAUAAAUAAAUAUCCCUAAAAAUAAAAUUUCUUGUAGUGGGUAGUUAAUUAAACCAAAUUAAAUUUUAUGUAGUCGUUUUAAUUUAUUCUUAAAAUUUGAAAGUAUAGGAUGGUUAAAUAUAAUCAAUAACUACUUAAAACUAACAAACCGACCAACUACCGUGUUCCCGCUCAGAAUCAAAAUGUCGGCGACGCUUCCCCUAUCAUCUCCUUCCCCGCUCCCUCUUCCGCCCAAAAACCCUAAAAACCCAAGAUCGAUCCAAGCAUCUGAUUCCCAAGACCCCAUUAAUGCUCUUCUUCAUUACCUCCAUGUGGUAUCCCGCGGCCGAUCUCCCGCUAAAAUCGUCUUCAUUUCCGCCAUGAAGGCCUGCUCCCUCCGCGCCGCCAAAGCCGGCCAAUCCCUCCACGCCCACAUCGUCAAAUCCGGGUUCGCGCCCGACCGGUUCGUUGCGAGCUCUAUUGUCGCCUUCUACUCCUCGUGCGGCCGAUUGGGCUUUGCCCGCCAAGUGUUUGAUGCAGUGCCCGUGAAGGAUGCGGUGCUUCAAACCGCAAUGCUGAUGAGCUAUGUAGAUAAUGGCGAACUUGCUGUAGCACGGAGAUUCUUCGAUGAGAUGAAUGAAAGGGAUGUUGUCGCUUGGAAUGCGAUGUUGAGCGGGUACAUACGCCACGGGCUUCCCGAAGAAGCUCUCGAGCUGCUUCGAGAUAUGCAGAUCACGAUGCUUAGGCCAAAUGAGGUGACGCUCGUCUGUGCCCUCUCAGCUUGUUCUCAGAUGGGCUCCCUCGCUUUGGGUGAGUGGCUUCAUGGCUACAUCGAUAAGCACUUGGGUGCUUCUGGAAAAAGCCCUACUUUGGGUAAUUGCCUUGUACAUAUGUAUGCAAAGUGCGGUAGGUUGGAUAUUGCAUUCGGAUUGUUCGUCCAGCAGAAGCCGAAGAACUUGGAGUCGUGGAACACCAUGCUGACCGCCUUCGCCCUCCACGGCUGCGGAAUGAGUGCUCUCUCCCUCUUCUCUCAGAUGAUAAAGUUAGGAAUUUGGCCCGAUAGGAUUACCUUCCUUGGGGUUCUAAUGGCGUGUAGCCACACGGGCAGGGUCGACCAUGCCCUACAAUGCUUUAAUUUUAUGACCAGAGUUUAUGGUGUCGAGCCCAACGCCGACCACUGCGGAUGCAUGGUCGAUGUUCUGGCUCGUAAAGGGCUUCUCAAAGAAGCUCGAGAAGUGAUUAAAAGUAUAGCUUUUGAAACUGAUGCUUCUAUUUGGGGUGCAUUGUUGGUUGGAUGCUUUACUUAUGCCGAUUACGAUCUCGGUUUAGAAGCUGCAACACAUCUGGUCGAGCUCGAACCGUGGGAGGAGGGCCGAUAUGUAGCUCUGUCGAAACUAUAUGAGAAAGUUGGUAGAAUAGAGGAGGCCAUGAGAGUGAGAAAAGCAAUGGAUGAGGCUUGUACCGAAAGGUCCGCGGGAAGAAGUGUGAUUGAGGUUGAUGGUGUUGUUCAUGAGUUUAUAGCAGGAGAUAGAUCCCACUACCGGUCAAAGGAGAUUUACUCGAUGAUUGAGAUACUGUGUUUGAAUUUCGAGCUUGUCGAUCAACAUGAUGAGGCAAUGUACGGUAUGUGGAAUAUCUUACGGUAAAGAAGUUAUUGAAAGAAUUUGUAAGUUGAUUCUUUUCAUUCUUUUCUCUGAGUCAGUGCAUUGAACAAGUAUUUGAGUUACUGAACAUAUGUCCACUUGCACAGGAUUAGUCUUUGUUCACAGUUCAUGUGAGGUGAUUUUGAAAACUAGAACACAUAUAGAUGAACAGAAAUCAGGAAGCGAAGAGAAUUUCCUAAAACGCCAAUGAAUAAUGAAUCGAAUUUUAUAUACUAAGCCAGCCAGUGAUGUUCUUGUAACAGGGGGCAGUUCGACAGAGUUAACGUCUCCAGGAUAUGGCAACCAAAGCCCUAAUCCUCCUCUACUCUCUUUCAAUCCAGUUUCGUUCCCUUUAGAUUCGUCAAGGGAUUUAACCCACUCGACAACCGAAGAAUGUUCUCUAGUGUGCUUAUGCAGUAUGAACAACGAAUUAUAUGCGCAACUGGGAAACAUGAAAAACUUGAACGCAUCGCCUAACCUGUACGUUACGUAGCCGAAACUGAGUUGAUCUCUUGGUGUGAAAAGACUGACCUCGUGGAACCAAAGGCAGCUGAACAAGUUUGCCAUCGCUGUGUGUUCUCGCUUUAGGACGGCUCCCUCUGGUACAUCUGCAUUUGAUAUGCAACUAUCUUUAGCAACUACAGUUGAAGCUUUAACAGAAGUGGAUUGCAUAUUAUGAAUGUGUGCUAUUAUGAACCCCCCCCAAAAAAAAUAAAAAAAAAAAAAAAAAAAAAAAAAACUGAAAAAAGAGCAAAAAUAUGAGAAGGUUGAUUAACUGAGUAUUAUGCAUACAUCGUGUAACUAGCGGCAGUUCUUGUAAGAACCAAAAAGAAACACAAUGAAUAAGGAACUAAACUUUCCAAACAACACCCACUAUAUCUUGUUACAAAAGUUAUGAACUAAAAAUACAUGCAACACGGCAAUGUUUUGCUUUUCAAGAAUAAACCAGGGAGUGCAACAUGACAGUGUGCCAACUAGGAUGAAAUUAUAACCAGUGUUACAUGAGAAUGUUAACAAAUUCAGAUUUAUCCUCUUCCAAUUACUGCUUUGUUUAUCUUUAUGGGCAAGUUUAUAUGCAGGUCUAGAGUUGGCUUGAUCGUAUUUCAAGGUGAAAUCACCUUUUGAGAAUCUCAUUGAUAACCAUAGAACCUUAUGCAACUAGGAGUAUGAUAGAUAUCAUGUGUGUAAGACUAACUGAUGUCAUAACUUUGAUAGGAAUUAUUGAUAAUUGCAUAGAAAGAUUCUAGCUUACCACUUAUUGUUCUUUUCUUCGGACUCCACGGUUCCAUUCCCCCGUACCGAUAAAUUUUCAUGUGAAGAUCAACUAAUGAUCGAGCAUACCGCUUCCUACGUUUGAUUGCAUUAGCUUCUUCGUAUACUCUUAUGAUGUUUGUGACAAGAAACAGCAAAUGCAUGCUUUCCCCGCCAAAGAUACCUGCAAAAUAGAUAACAUUGAUUAUCGGCUAUACAGUACAGUUUAUAAUAAAGGAAAAAGAAAAAAAUCCAAGCUGUUAAUUAAACAAGAAUGUACCCACCUUUCAAGCAUUAGCAAUGGAUCAACAAUAAGCUCCAUUUUGCCAUCAAUCCAAAUGCUAUACUUAGCUUUCGGAAAUAGCCUAUGAGUUAAGAUCUUAGGAAUCUUUCCAUUCCAUCUAGGCUCAUCGUAGGGCAAAUGAUGCAAUGUCGCAAGGCACCAAAUACCCACCCAUUUCCCAUCAUCACUGUCUUCUCUCACGCUAAUGUUUUGCUUGAUGAAAUGAAGUGAUUUCUCAUUCACCACCAUGAGAAGGCAGAAAAGCUUUUUCGAACGAAACCUUAUGUUCGGGGUUGAUGAGGUAUGUCGUACCCAUCGAAGAUGCCAGAGGCGACCACAAAUUGACAUUUUCGAGCGUAUUUUACAUCGAUGUCGUCCAUUUCUACACCAGCAUUUCUCAUAAACCCACAGUGUACCUAAAGGCCAUUAGAAGAACACGCAACCAGUUGCUAAUGUGACCAAAAAUGAAAGGAAGAAUUGCAAGUCGGCAUGCCUUUAUCAUUUAUUCUACAUAGAUGAGACAACAAAGUGAUUGACGACCUUGGCAAAUAAAAACAUAUUAACGAGAAGGUUUCUUGAAUAGAAGUAUCAUUUAGAUAUCUUACAUUCAUCGUAAUCUUCAAAUUAAAGCUCUCCUCUCUUUCUUUCCAGCUCUGAUGUCCUCCGAACACUGGGAAGGACUGCGUCCCCUUAUUUCCUUGCUCAUCAACAAAUAUAUAUGAUAAGCUUUUUGGAAUUAUAUUUCGUGUCCUCUUCGGAAUAACUAUAGCAUCUGGAUCAUCAGCGAGAGAGAUUGGGCAACAUGAUUGAAAAGACCCUCAGUAUUUUCUUUUUUUCUUUUGGUUUUGGAAAGAUCACCAAAAUUAUCUGAUGUUGUGAUGCAACAAGCAAUUAUACACUUACGGUGCAGUGGUUUUGGUGCGGCAUGCGUCGUGUCUAAUGUUACAAGAACUUAGUUUUCUUUUCUACAAAGAGCUGCAGACGAAAAGCAUUCAAUUGCUAACCGAGACGGAUUAGACCACAAGAAACUUACUACAACUGCCGUUGCAUUAUUGCCAAAACUAAAGAUGGUAUUGAAGUAAAAUUUCUCUCUCAAACUCCUAAAUCAGGAUUAUUAAGCCUCUCCAUAUUGUCGAAACUUAUGAAGUUUCUCUUAAUACUAUUUAAUUUCAUUCUCUUCCUAGUUCCGUAGACAAGUAUGAAUCAAGCAGUGAAAGAAUCUAAAAUGCUAGGGCGUUGCCUAAAUCUUCGACAAGAACAUGUUAGCUGAAUCAUCAAAAUAACAUGACGAAAACGAUGUUAAGAGAGGAACAACGCCACAAAAUUGUUUUGAACUGCAACAACUAUUCGAUGUACAUAAAAGAUUAAUAGAAACAAUCAAAAGGGAAAAUAUUGUGCCAUCGAGUAUACCUGCGAGGUAGCCGAUCAAAGAAUGGCAAGACCACAAAUGGAGCAGCGAUGCGGCGAGAAUGAGCAUCGCCACCCAAACAACAGUCGAGGUGAAACCAAAACGAAUGAAACCCUUCCUCCGAACCAUUCGAAAGGGAUCUCCCCACGCUCUCCCAGGUGGAAAAGAAUCACCUUCCUCAUCUGAAUCAAAAGAAAAAGCCCAUAUAUGAUCCGUUUCACCAAUAAAUCGUACCAAAGAAGCUAAGUUUGCUUAAUUCUCACCAUUGGUGUGAGAGCCCUCACGGCUCCAAUCUCCUCCUCUACGCGAUGCUCGAAAGGAGAGCGAAACUUGAUGGGUUUCCACCUCCAUUACAACGAAUUUACGAUCCAACCCUAUGAGAAUGAUCGAUUUGGGGAGAGAAUGAUACAGAAAACCAAUGAAAGAUCGUCCUUUUAUCGCAAGAACAGAUCAAAAAUGGAUUAUAACAGCGUUCUCGAAGCAAUACCUCAAUCUUUGUUGCGUUUCUCGAUCGAAAUUGGAGGCCAUACGCAAUUCCAUUAGGGUUUUACGAAGAAAAUGGGGGAGAUCGAAGAAGAGGAAGAAGCAAGAGGGUAGAGAGACUGAGAUGAUUCGGAUGUAUAAAACCGCGGGAAGGUUCGGAUCCGAGACAAUUGAAGUGAUGAAAUGGGCCGGGUCCAGGCCCAAUAUCAACCCAAAAUAAAUAAAAGCAAUGUAAGAUUUGGUUGUUCAAUCUUAAACUUUUCAAAUUUUCAAUAUUAAUUUUAAAGUUCACAAUUGUUCAGGUAACAUCUAUAUACGCUUUUACUUCGGCAUGUGGUUAAAUCUCUUUAUAAAGCAGAUUGCUACUUUUGAUUCAGUUUAAACGAAACGUAACGUAGAAUAUCAACCUGUAGAUUAAAAGAUGCAAACACCUCCCAAGUAACUCAAAAGCAAAACAAGCAGCUCUUUAUAUAUGAACAUCUUUUGGUAAUCAAGAUCUCUCAUGUACACACACUGCUUGGAACAAAGAGUUUCUACUCCUCCGCAUUUUCGAAGCUGGAAAAUUUCGGACUCCGACGCCACACCAAACUUCAAAAAAUGUGACAACCAUCAAUUGAUCAGCUAGCCCUCUACACGCAAAUCGACGGCGGUCGGAGAAGUUGGUUGUUUACUGCAGCCAUCUCCAGCCUCUCCCAUCUCACCUCCCUUUUGCUCGCUUCGCACCCGAUCGCGGAUUCUCUCUGAUUGAUCUCUUCGAGGCACUUUGCGUAGAGCUCGGGCUCCAUCUCCUCCAACAUGUUCUUUACACUCGUCGUCAGCUGCCGCACCGACUUGCUCCAGUGCGUCUUGAGGUUCUUCUCGAUGCUGUCGACCGUCGGGGGCAGGAUCUCUUGCAUCAGACACGACGCCAUCUUCACGAAUUGCUCAUUGUUCCAUACAUAAAGGGCCCUUUCUGCCACCUGCAAAAGCACAAAAAAUAGAGGGAAAAAAUUUAAAUACUUUGAUUUGAGAUUUUUUCUUAGGUGAUCAAAUCUUGUUCAUGUAAGUUUUGAAACUCUGCUAGUCUUUCCCUCCUCCAAAGAUAAAAGACAUCUUUGAAUCACUUCGGUUUAUUUAUCUUAUACUCGUUCACCACUCAAAAUCCAUCUGCAGUUACUUAUUCCACCGUUCAUCCAUCCAUCGCAUCUCAUACUCUACCCAACUCAAAUCAAAUGUGCUCUAAGAUCCGUGCAAAUUCGAUGGUGCCGGUUCUCAACCAGGUUUUGUCCCCAGCCGGAACUACUAUUAGAUCGACCAAAUAGGAAAUAGUCCAGGAUCAGUCUUAACAUCCUCAGAAGGAUGCAAUGUUUGCGUGUCUAAAAUCAAAUACCCCUGCAAACUUAGAAAAAUUUUAGAAUGCAUCAGUUAUAUUUGAUGACGUGACAUUCUCAACCAGCAAAAUGAUUCGUUUUGAAUGUAUCCAUCACAUUCACACCGUGAUUAUAAAAAAAAUAUUUUUAUUGUAAUUUUAAAAAAUAUAUAUGAUUAGCUUAUUUCUGGUGAUGAAAAUAAUGCAGUGCAAGUGGAAUACAGUAGAUUUUCUCGAGCGUGAACCUGAGAGUUGCAGCUGGUGGAGCACCGGGCGAUCUGCGCGCAGAGCGGCGGGGCGAGCUUGCGGAACAGCGGCAGGUCGAGCAGGUCGAGCAGCUCCUCGAGCUCCCCGAUCAUCAGCACCUCCUUGUGGGAGCUGGUGCGGGGCCAGCAGCGGAGCAGGCCCCUCGCCACCGCGUCGGCGAGCGCGGGCUCCUUGCGCACGAACUGCAUCACGCAGUAGCUGAGCUGGCGGUGGUACGCCCCCAUCCCCUUGGGGCGGUGCAGCGGCACCAGCACCCGCCGCAGGAGCGCCCGGUGCUCCUCCUUCAGCGGCACCGCGAACCCGUCGAUCACGCUCGCCCAUAUCUCCAGCAGCUCCCCGACCCCGCACUGCCGCUCCGCCAGCAGCGCGUCGCGCAUCGACCGCCGCAUGAACGCGCCCUUCAGCCGGUGGCGCUCCCGCAGGUCAUCGGGUCCUCUGACUCGAACAGCGUCGCCAACCCGGACAGGAACCCGCGCCCGGCGUGCUCGCGGAGGGCGGCCUGCUCCGCGCUCGACACCGCCGCCGACAGGAUGUCGUAGGCGAUGCUGAGGUGCGGCCACGGCGGCGCGAGGGACGCGACGGGGGAGUCGUCGUCGACGAGGAGGGAUUCGGGAGGGUGGGGGCAGCAGGGGGAGGCGGGGGGCGGGAGCGGGCGGAAGAGGUUGGCGGACAGCAGGGCGAAGAGCGGGCGGAGGAUUCCGGGGGGGAGCGGCCGCCGGGCGGAGCGGACGGCGGAGAGCACGCGGAGGAGCCGCGCGCGCUGGGCGUCGCGGUCGGACGGCGACUCCGACGGGUCGGUGAACGUGAACACGCGGCUGCCGCAGAGCGAGAUCGCUUCUACGAGCUCUUCCGCGUUCGACUCCGGCGAAGAAGGCGGCCGCGGCAGCGCGCACGCGAAGCCGCCGUCGCCGUCGCCGUCGCCGGCGCCGGCCUUGGAGUCGAGAUCGAAGAGGUGUUUGAGAGUGGUGGACUUCCGCUUGGGCCGGAGCUUCGGCGAGUUCGCCGAAGCGCCCAUCUCUCUCUCUCUCUCUAUCUCUCUCUCGGAAGAGAAUGGAGGAGAAGGAAGAUCAGGGCGGAAUUUGGACAAUUUGUAAUUGACAAAUUUGAGAAAAAUGUCUCGGUGGUCCUUGUCCUGUUGCGAUAUGGCUACUUGGUCCCUCUCUAUCUCUCUCUCCCUCUGUUUUCCUCUCAAACUAUGAAAUAAUUAUGCCUAAGUGCCUAACUUAUUUUAGUUAAUAAACGUUUAGAGUUGCGGUUUAUAGUUCUUAAUAAAAGAUUUAGAAGUUAUUUUACGAAAUGAGUAUUUUGUUCUUUCUAUUUUAUAGCAAAAUUUAAAAUAAAGUGUUAAAAAAACAAAAAAGAGUGCAAAAAUGAACUCGCAAUAUCAGAAAAUUACAGGGACGAUCCGUGCAAUUUUUUUUUUUAAAAAAAAAGGCUUUGUAAUUUGUAUAGGAUAUAGUGAAAAUUGGCAGGUGAUGAUGAGGGAGGAAGAGUCCAAAAGGUGGGGCGAUGUUUUCGGUGGGAAAGAAAAGGGCAGCUUGUGAAUGGGUUGUUAAUUGCACUCAAAGUCCCAUAUUUUACCAAAUUUUCAUUUUACUCCCUAUUUUUUUUUUUUUUCAUUUUGAUUCUUAACUUGUAGAGUUAGUUGCGCUAAUGGUACCCACCCUUUUGCCCUUCUUUUCCUUCAUGUGCACCCCCAUGGUAUCAAACUCAAGCUCACCACUUUCUCCUCUGCACCUUCGACCAUCUUGACCCCGUAUAUAAUAUCUACCGUUUCUUUUGGAGCAUUCGACGAUCGGAUACUUUGAUAGACCAGGAAUUGUUAUAAUCAGUAACUACAUCUUAUAUGAGUAGUACUCAGGAUAUUAUUAAAGUUGGCAUGACUGAUUCGAUUAAACUUAAUAGUGUUUACAGACAUAACUGAAAAGAAAUAUAAUUAGAAACUGAAGUUAAAAAACAAAAAAAAAAAAAUGGAUAAAGGUUAGGGGCCAUCAUGCAAUAAACGCUUUGUAAAUUCCGACCGUUGAGGGAUGUUCCUGCUUUCCAACGAGAGGAGCACAUGGUCAACAACAUCUUUGGGCUCCUUUUGGCUAUUUUGGCUUUUUGAUGCAGCUAAAAUUGGUUUGGAUUGGUGUGUUUGGACACAUAGCAGUUGAAUAUACGGCUGGAGAUUAAGAAAGGGUUAAAAAAGAUAUCUGCGUAAGAUUCUCUUCAUGUAAUUUUAAUUAUUUUUUUUAAGACAAUAUGGUACCAGAGUCAGCUUCUGCAGCAGUUUUAAAGAAAUUUUGAAUUUAAUUUCUUUGUCAUCUUCUCGUUAUCCCUCUUCUAUCAAUUAACAUUAUAUGAUAUAUCUAAUUUUCAUCGUAUAAAUUAGUUGAUGUGUUAAGAUUAUUUCCGAAUCAUUUUCUUUUUUUUGUAUCUAUGUUAUUUUUUUUCUUCCCUUGUUAUCUCUAUUAAUGUACGUAAUAUAUAUAUAAUUCAUCUGAAAUAUUUCUGCAUUAAAAGAAAAGAAAAGAAAAUUCUUCACAUUGGGGUUAGGCAGGAUGAUGAAGGCUCCAACUGAAAUGCCAGUUUCUCUUAUCUACUUUGCGGAUAAUGGGGAGUGAUUGAAUAAUACUUUAUUGCAUUAUAUAUAUACACCUGAAAAGGACCCUUUUAGUGUUCACCAUGUGGAUCAUCAUAAGCUGAGAAACUAUUUCGCCAUGUAAUUAAAAGGCCUAUAUAUAUAUAUACUUAUGAUGCCACGUGCAUCUCUUUUAGUGCAUGAUCUCUACAACUUAUACACUCUAAAAAGUAACAACAAAGUGUUUGGCAAAGAGAAGGUCUAAAAUUUACACUGCAACAAGAAAUAAAAUAAAAUCCUAGACUCUGAAAACAAAAGCUCGACUUGUAAUUUUAACUUUUUAAGACAACUCUACUCAAACAGUACAAAGAUUCACUGCCGAUGGAGCACUACUAGAGAAGUGAUAAAAAGAAACAUAAAGAGAAGAACAUGCCCCAUUCCUCGCAUUUUGUCGCUCUAUUCAUAGUUUGGCACAUAACAGCAGAAUAUAUAUAUAUUAUAUAUAUAUAAAAGGAAAACAGAGAUCCAAAGAAAGCUGAUAGAUGGUCAAGUUGAUUUGCUCUCACAUAGAUUUGUAUUCAAUUGCCCAUUGAAAACAAUUAUCAGAAACAAUGAUCAUAAUGUAACAGCAACAAGUCAAACAUGGAGAUAUUUCAUGAUUUGAUCAAAGAGAUGAUGAUACUCAUUGAAGGCAAUGCGUGAUAAAAUCACAUGUUUGCUAAGCUAACAGAGAACAGUUCAGAUGGCUGCUGUAACAGUCAAAACCUUGCGCUGAAGACAUCAAGAUGCAUAACAGUUUCAUAAAGAAGAGUUCAAAUGAUAGUAUAGUAUUACGAUCCGAGUUUGAACAAGACCAAACUAGUAGGAAACUAGGUUUUCACUGGUGACCUACUCUUAUCUACAAAACUUGAAAUAUGGUCAUCAACAACUUUUGAAUGAUGUUCUCUGUCAUCAAUGAUACACUAAUCAAAGUUCUAAAAGAUAGUAGGUGGCUGAAGAGCGGCUGAUGACUUGGUCAGCAUCCACUGAUUGCAGUAGCAAAAACAAGAAGAUGAUUUCAAAUAAGUUUACAAAGAGAAAUAGCUUAUCAAAAUGCACCAAAGCCGGCCAAACAAAACGAUAACUAAAUAGUCAAUAUCACUAUACUAACCAAAAAGAGGCUAAGUGCCGGCCGAGAAACUCGUCCUCUAAAACAUUUACUCUCGAAAACCAUUUUUAAACAGCAAAAGAGAAAAAAAAAUUGCACCUCAUCCAAAAAAAUAUGCUAUCAUAGAAUCACAAAAGAAAACACAAGAAAAAAUAAAAAGAAAUUUUAUAAGUCAACCUAACAUUCAACCAAAUCAAACAAGAAUCUCGUCCUCAUACGUAAGAAUAUUUUUAAUAAUUUACCAUCCACCCUCUUUGAAAAGCAAAGCCACAAAAAAUCCGACAGGUACUUCAGUUCUAUGCUAAUUAUAUUAUAUUUGAGAUAAUUACCGCAAGAUGCAAGGACUUUUUUCAUGAUGAAUUAAUACCUAUCAAAACAUAGAGAAACUCAGGAUGACCUCCACAGAGUGGAAAAAAAGAUUGAAUUUCCCAUGCAAGCAAUUUCAGUAACUUUCCACUAGAAAUAUUUCUACGUAAUAAGAAAACAAAGCAAGUUUGCUCUACCAGAGUUAUAUGUCAGAAACAAGCAUCUUCUCUAUCAAAGUAUUGCUUAACAUAAGUUUCCUGCGCUUUUCAUUAUUUUGACUAUUUUUUUUACAAAAUGGACAUGCACUAGAAUAAUCAAUACUGCAAGCAAGAAGAAAGUACUACUAAAGUUGUUAUACAUAGAACUUUUACAGGACGUGGAAUGGUGGAAGGCAAAAAAGAUAGUAACACGACCAUUAAGAUUGUAGGUCUUUCUCUAACAAUGUGACCAACUAGAAAAUUCAAUAGUCCAUGCCUUGUGUAGGUAUUUUGUGAGCUCCAGAUAUAAAUUUAGUCAUUGGAUAUUGAUUGAAUACAGAAUUCACUUAAAUAUCUACACGGAAAUGUGCCCAAAAAGUCUAAAUAUUGCAUAUUUCCUCUCUCACAAGCAUACAAGCUACAUGCCGGUAAGUUAUAAUAUUUUAACAUCAAACAGGUAGAUACAUUAAUGCCGCAAAGGUACACUACCAUUAUCCAUUUCUUACAGAAAAAUUUUAUUUUAGUGAGGUGUCCAAGUAAAGAAAAAUGCUUCCUUUGGAAAAAAAAAAAAAAAACAAAGGUGAAAUGCAACACCUAGAGGCUGGACAAGAAUUUCAGGUCGAAAUAAGACAUGCAUACAGACGGAAUAUAGAUUAGCUUAAUGUGGGUAUCCACCAAAGGCCAAAGCUAUUAAUCCAAUCACCAUAGUAAAUUAACUCAAAACAGCUUAAAACACAUUUUUCACUAACAACGAAAUAGUAUAUUUACAUCACAACUUCUAAGUUUUAUCUCUGUAAGUAAUUCAUAUGUCAAUUUGGGGGAUUGCAAACACAUCCAAACCCAAAAGAAGCACUAUAAGUUACAAAAAAAUAACUUUAUUUGUAAAUUCAGUUAUAAUUAGAGCAACAAACAGCAAUGACAAUUAACAUCAUAGAAAACUACAAUUAGUACCACAUUGUAUUGUUAUCCGAUCGGCUAACGAAUCCUCUCUCCACCAUCAUCUCAACAAGCUCUUCAUGCUUCCUCAGCUGCCCCGCCUUCCUCAACAGUUCUAACACCAUCUCAUACACUGGCCUUGUCGGUUUCAAACCCUUCUCCCCCACCAUCUCCCUCAUCGUCGCAUACGCCCUCCUCCAAUUCCCCCUCCCACAGAAUGCCGUCGCCAGUGCCGCGUACGUGUUCACGUUCGGCUCCACCCCCUCCGCCUCCAUCUCCUUCCUCAUCCUCACAACCAUAUCCAUCGACUUCUCCUCAUUGAACAGCUGCAUUAGAAGGUUAUACGUCACAGUGUUCAGCGGGCAAUGUAGCUCCCGCAUUCUAUCAUACAACUUGUGGGCAGCGUUCACAUUUCCAGUGUUCCGCAAGCAGCGGAAUAUGGGAUUGAACGAGUGGCAAUUCGGCGAGCACCCUUUAGCCACCAUCUGAUUGAGGACUUUAAGGGCGGCAUCGAGGUUCUUCUGGCCUUUUCCACAGUGCGUCUCGAUGAGGAAGUUGUAGGUUAUAAUGUCGGGCUCGCACCCGAGCUGCUUCAUCUGGUUCCGGACCUGCAGAACCUGCUCGGCGCGCCCGGCUUUGACAUGAGCGCGCAUAAAAUUGUUGAAUGUCGCGGUGUUGGGCGCGCAACCAGCGUCAAUCAUUUGGCAGAGCAGCUCGUGGGCGCGCGGCAAUUGGCCGGCCCUGCACAUGGCGUCGAUCACGAUGGUGUAGGUAUACACAUUAGGGGUUAUGCCGAGCUGGCGCAUCUCGGCGAAGACCCGCUCGGCCUCAUCGAGCCGGGCGGCGCGGCACCAGGCGUGGACGAGGACCGAGUAGAGAACCACAUCGGGCGGGAACUGCGAUUUGAACGAAUCGAACAGGGACUGGGCUUCGCCGGCGAGCCGCUUCUUGGCGAGCGCGGCGAGGAGCGACGCGAGGGAGGCGGGGUCGGGCGCGACGCCGUAGUCCGGCAUGCCGCGGAACGCGGCGACGGCGUCCUCGGGGAGCCCGGCGCGGAUGUAGCGGCGGAUGAGGGCCGCGAAAGUUUGAGGCAAAAUUGGGACUUUUGAGCCGCGCAUUUCGUCGAGCAGGUGGCGGGCGAGGUCGCAGUGGCGGAGCUUGCCGGAGAGGUCGAUCAUGGCGGUGAAGGGCUCGGAGAGGGAGUCGGGGGAGGGGUGGGAGGAGAGGAACCAGUGGAAGAAGGCGAGGGUUUGGGGGAAGGGGACGCCAUUGCGGAGGGAGGAGACGCGGCGGAUGAGGGCGAGGGCGAGGGAGGGGGNUGUGAGAGGGAGAAGAGAGGGAGAUGUCAUGGGUCAUGAGCUUCUUAUUUGAGUUGUUGUUGUUGUUGUUGGUAAUGGUGGUGGUGGUGGUGGUGGUGGUGGUGGUGGAGAAGAGGAAGGAGAAGGGAGGAGGAAGGAAAAGGGGUUUUGGUUUGAGGAGAAACGCCAUGGAUGGAGGAGAGUGAGGUGGUUGAGGUGGCCGAGGAGGAGGGAGGGGGUUAGGGUUUAGGGCUCAGUGGGUUGAGCCGUAUAUGGGCGACCAAAUCACUAAUUUUGGUUCUAGUUUGGUUCGAUCUUGAUUAUAACUAGUUUGAUUUUAAUUUAAUUUUUUGAAAUUAAAAUUGUAGUUUGAUUUUUAUUUAAGAAUUAAAAAGAAUUAAUCCAAAUCAAAAAAAUCAGAAUAUGAGUAGAAUAUAAAAAUAAAAUAUAAGCUACUAGAUUUCUAAUAUCUGUUAAUUGUUGUAGUUAUAUUGGCUAAUAUAAAAUAUUAGCUAAUAUAAAUAUUAGCCAAUAUAACUACAACAAUUAACAGAUAUACGCUAAUAUAAAAUAUUAGCUUACUAUUUUCUUUCUUCUUUUUUCCUAGCAGGCUUAAUAUUUAAAUAAUUAUUAUAAUAUUAUUAGGAUUUUCUUCUUUUUCAAUUUUAUUAUUGUUUUAUAUAAGAUUAAACCACUGUUGAAAUCUCAUUACACUCUUGGGCUUCUUAAAAUUUCUAAAACUCAAAUAUAAGGAAGAGCAUUAAAUAUAGUAGAUCACUGUCACAAUAUCCUAUUUAGGAUUUUCUAUAAUAUUGUAAAUCACAUGGCAUCAUUAUUAUUAUUAUUAUUAUAUUCUAAACUUCAAACACCAUCGUUACUAACUCUAAGGGGGCGUUUGGAUCGACGAAUUUGUAGAUUCAACGUAAGUCAAGUGUAGUGGUGUUUGAGUUUUUCUGAAGUGUGAUUAUUUUUCUGUUGUUUGUUUUGACGUAAUUCGUACCACUGAAAGUUAAAUUCAAUCACUUCUGCUGUUUGUUUUGAUGUAACUUGGUGCUGGUAAAAUUAGUUUUUUGAGUUCCGUUGUUUGUUUUGAUGUAAGUAAGUGGAUCCCAU
rnacentral:lncRNA from 1 species